rnacentral:lncRNA from 1 species
GCGGGAAACAUUUGUAUUUAGGAUGCGUAUGAAUUUUCUAAUUUAGUAGGUAAAAAAAUUUUCAUGUGUGGGAAAGUAUUUUACAAGCCUUCACUUUCUACCCAACUUUAUUUUUACAUUUUUCAGAUAUGUAACAUUUUUAGUUUAAUUCAUGUUUCUGCUCAUGGUUAGUGGUGUUUUGUUACGAAUAAUUAUAAUUCAUUUUUUUUUUAUACUGUCCAACUAUACCUCUGGAGACGGUCUUCCGAGCAUAGGGUUUGGACACAGGUUUCCAACAUUUUUCCACUACAUAUUUGGUAUCUAAUGUAGUUUGACCCAAGUUAACUCUUUUUAGUUGGUUGUUCCUGGCCGGCGGGAUCAUCGAUGAAAGAGCCUUUCUAAUUAUUUGGUAUUUAACUAAAUGUACAACAUAAAUGUCAUAUAUCAGUAUUCAGUAAUCAUCUAUAAUUGUUAUUAUUUAUUUAUGUAUUUAUGCAUAUGAAUUGUAUUUUCAACUUAUUAAAAUCUGGUGUCCUUCAAGCUGUUUGAGUUAUCGGCAAUAUUCAGAUAUUGUUUUGUUUUAUUAUAGCCUAUGUAUUCAAGGGGGAAAAGGUUAAGGUAAUACCCAUAUGUUAUUGCAAUAUUCAGAUAUUGGACUUUUGUGUUUAUCUUUUUAUAUGUGAGUAUGAACUAAAAGAAAUUUCAUUAUUGGACCUUACUGAAAGAAACUUUGUGUUUGAA